rnacentral:rRNA from 1 species
GACGAACGCUGGCGGCGUGCUUAACACAUGCAAGUCGAACGGAAAGGCCCUGCUUUUGUGGGGUGCUCGAGUGGCGAACGGGUGAGUAACACGUGGGUAACCUGCCCUUGACUUUGGGAUAACUUCAGGAAACUGGGGCUAAUACCGGAUAGGAGCUCCUGCUGCAUGGUGGGGGUUGGAAAGUUUCGGCGGUUGGGGUUGGACUCGCGGCUUAUCAGCUUGUUGGUGGGGUAGUGGCUUACCAAGGCGUUGACGGGUAGCCGGCCUGAGAGGGUGACCGGCCACAUUGGGACUGAGCUACGGCCCAGAAUCCUACGGGAGGCAGGAGUGGGGAAUAGUGCACAAUGGGAGGAAGCCUGAUGCAGCAACGCCGCGUGCGGGAUGACGGCCUUCGGGUUGUAAACCGCUUUCGCCUGUGACGAAGCGUGAGUGACGGUAAUGGGUAAAGAAGCACCGGCUAACUACGUG